AACGAUGUUUGUGUAUGUUAUCAUGUACUCCCUCCGUAAAAAAUAGCCAUAGAUUAGUUUUACUCCAUGGCUAUGGUUUCAUUGGUGAAAUAAACAUAAACAUGGUAUUUUACUGAAAAAGCAUGGUAUUUUAGCCUGGAGUUCUAAACCCUACAAAUAAGCAUGGUUAUGGUUUGUUAGGUCAAUCAAUAGCGGAAAGUUUAGCCUGGAGCUCUACUUAGUAGAAAAAUACAAAACUAUUAUUAUUAAUUGACGAAAUCCCAUAUUCUGCUUGAUCUGUGCUUGGCUCAUGUAUGUUGAUUCUCUUGGGCUGCGCAGAGCAGGGGUGUUGUAUCCGGGAGUCAAUGUUACUUGCUUUCUUCCUUGUGCUUAUCCAGCCCGAAGAUACACUCACAGGCAGUUUGACCCUGUUUCAAUUUGCCUUCUUCUUGACCAAAUUGAUUGUUGUUUCCCCUCCUAAUCUCCGUGGAUAAGUGGACCCCUUACUGCUAAAUUUAGUUGCCUUCGCUUUCCCUUUAAGGUGUUGUGUCCCUUGGCGAAUGCAGUAGCUUCAUUUAGUAUGGUUUGGUUUCUUACAAAGGUGAACUUCGCAAAUCAGUUAAAAUUGGUGAUCGCUUCUGGAACAUACGUAUACACAUUCACAUUAUAGGUUCAUCUUUGACCCUUUUAAAGAUGAAAAUGCCAUUUCCUUUGAGAAUAUCUUAAGACAACGGAAUAUCGUUGUCUAUUUUGAUGACAGAGAAAUGAUCUGAUUGGACUAUGGAAAUCAGUGAUAACAGGAGAUAGUGAGAUAUCUCCUCUUCCUGCUGCAUGUGCUCCCUGCCUACUUCCUUACAUGUGCUCCCUGCCUACUUCCUCUCAGGUCGACGCCACCGUGGCAGUGUUCUUUGGCACUCAGGUCAACAUAGUAGGGUUCUCCUUGUCAUUGAUAGCAUCGGUUAACAUAGCGGCAGGGGUCGCGGUCGCCCGAGGAGCACAACCACACGGGGCUGGUCAUGCCGCUGCCAAAGAAGAGCGGAGGAGGUCGAUACAGGGUCGAGGGGCAGGGGCGAGGUUCAUGCCGCACGGGGGCACGCGCCUCCAGCGAGAGAAGGCUUCUACUGUUCCCGUGCCGCCAGGCACCCCUCAUCGCCUCCCUACUUGUCCUCCGGUCGUCGGUGCUCUGUUGGUUGAUGGAUUUUUCUUAUCUGCCAGCAGACCGCACUGGAGGCUGCCGCCAUAUCUGAGGACAUCGUGAUGAGGUUGCCGCUUUGGCCAUAGCAGAGGGGAUCCGGCCGGCACGCCGCGUCUCCCAUAAACAUGCCUAAUUUUA